rnacentral:lncRNA from 1 species
CCUUAUCAUCUCACUAACCUUUAACAUUGCUUUAAGCUGUCUGAAUACUGUCUGAAUAGUCUGAAUAGCUCCAAAGACGACAUCAAUAGAAGCCUCAUCCAUAAGAAUUAAACAUGGAGAAUAUGCUUGGCCUGUAUGCAUUUAACAUUUAAACUCUAAUUUAGUAAAAUCAUUUAAUAUACAAUGAAAAAAAAAAACGUAAUAUAUAACUUUGUCUCAAAUUCAAUAAGUAUAACAAUAGCUAAAUAUUCUUAUCAACUAAACAAAAGUCCUUAUCAUCUCACAAACCUUUAACACUGUUUCAUGAUUCUGAAUAGCUCAAAAGAUGACAUUGAAACUCCCUUCUUUAUAAGAUUUAAACUCUGACAUGAAUACUGGCAUGUAUACAUUGAACUUUCUAUCAUCAGGACCACAUAUUUAUAAACAACUAUGGGUUUCUCAUAAUCGCAACAUAAAACUUAUCUUCUUCAUAAACAUCUUCUUUUGGCAUCAUCAUGUUUGUAAUUAUGUGAAAUAUAUAUAAAAUUAUAUAUAUAUAUAGACAAAUUGUCAUUAUCAUGUAACAAAAUCUACUGUCAAAAUCUAUACACAAUCCAGCUUAUGAAUAUAUUGGAUUUAAUAUCCGAAUAUAUGUUUAUCUAUUUCUCCAAACACAUGGAGAUAAAAGACUAACAAUGAUUGUCACGAACAAACUAAAAUUAAACAAUCACGAUUUAGGUUUUCUUGACAAAACAAAAUUGAAAUCAAAAUUUAGAGGCUUCAAUUGCCAAUACUUACCCAUAUAAGAUCGGGUUCUUGACAAUCGCUACCCAAGAGUUCUGUUCAUUUAUAAAACUUGAAAGAUUGGAAAUUGAAUCAAAACAUUUAGAAAAAGUAAAAGACAAAAUCUGAAUCAAUAAUAAGCUUACCCCUUUGUAGAAUUCCGAUUUAACGAUGAACAGAUGAUAAACGGAGAUGUGGUAUCUUUAUUAUCAGACAAUUUUGCAUCAUAGGCUUAGAUCGAACAAGCGACUGAGAUUUUUAGGGUGUGUUUUAGAGAGGAAUAGACAAGAAAGUUCUAAAAACAUCGGCCCAAAAAAAAAU